GUUGGGAAUUUGAAAUCUUUGACUCAGUCAACGGCUGUCGUUGACCAGAAGAAUUAUUUGAUAGAGACACAUUACGCUCUUCCUCUUCAAUAAAAUGUUGUCCGACGUCUUGAUUAAGUGCAGCUUGUGCUGCGGCUACAGAAUCAGACUCUUGUUGAGCGCAUUUCUGUUGUACUCUUUGAAGCUCAGCCAAUACCGUAUUAAAAUCUCGGGUAAGCUUUGAUAAGGCGAAGGACGACGCUUCUUCUCCAUAUUUUGUAUCUUUGAUGUUGGCAAGCCUUACCAAGUCUGAACGAACCUUUUGAGAUAGUUCACGGGAUUGCUCUAAAACCUCAUGUAAGUUUUUCGUAAGGUUGUUUACCAAAUAUCUAUGAAUUGCUGCUGUGUUUCCUCGUAGAGCAUGAAUUUCCUGAGCAAUACUGCUCGCUAAGGCUGGAAAGUCACCA